rnacentral:lncRNA from 1 species
UAUGUAUAUAGAAUAAGAAAAAAGAAUUCUGCAUAAUUAUCACCUAACAUAGAACAAUAAUAAUAUUAAAGUACAAAUAAGAUGCAAAUUUCAUAUAUGAUCAAAUAAAAUUUCUAAUUUCUGUUUUAGAGGUAAUCAAACCAAAUAUUCAUAAACCAAAAUGACUACUUGCCUGCCUCCAAAAAUCAGCCCAAUAUGAUGGAAACCGAUAAGAGCUGUUUUGCCUACAAUUGCUCCCACCCUAAACUCUUCGAUUUAUGCAAGGGUUUCUUUCUCUCUCUUCUCAAAAAGGAUAGGAAAAGCUUUAGAAUUGGAGUAUUCCUGGUCGUGCACCCCUUGAAUGGAAAGGGGGAAAGAGGUAAUUUUGUCAUUUUUGACUAGGAAGCAUCAGGUGGCACAAGUACGUCAAUUUUGAAGAAGAAUGCACAAGUCCAAAACACAAAAACUGAAUUGCUCAAACUUGAAAUUAUACACAAGUCCAAAACCCAAAAUUAAUUUCUUUCUUUACCUGUUGGAGGAGGAAAAGCGUGCGGCGCCUCUCCGGCCAUGGCAGGGUGCGACCGUGGCCGAGAAGAGUGCGGCGCCUCCCCGGACAGCGGCGGCAACUGGCGACGGUGCGGCGGCGGCGGCGCCCCCGCAGGCGUUCGGGGCGUGCGUGCACUGGUUGCGGGUCCUAG